rnacentral:hammerhead_ribozyme from 1 species
AUCCAGCUGACGCGUCUUAAGUAGGACGAAACGCGCGUCCUGGAU